AGCCAACCUAACAGUCAACAAAGUCAUGCACAUUAACAUUUCUUUGUUUUUUUUUAAUACAGUGGGAUGCAUCCUGCUUUUAUCUUGGAGUUCACCUCUGUGGCUUGGAUUUAUCACAGUAGCAUUUAUCUUCGAUUUGUGUGUUAACUAGAAAUCGAGAAAAGACAUGAGGAGAUUUGUUUACUGCAAGGUGGUUCUGGCCACUUCACUGAUGUGGGUUCUUGUUGAUGUCUUCCUACUCCUGUACUUCAGUGAAUGUAACAAGUGUGAUGACAAAAAAGAGCGAUCACUGCUACCCGCACUGAGGGGAACAAACACCAUUCCAACAUUUAUCAUUUUAAGCAAGUGAAAUGUUAGGAAUCAAAGUGAGAGGCUCAGAGAGAAAUUGUACUGUGGAAUAAAUCUUUAUGAUCCAUUUGUAAGGAAGAAAAUGUACUUGGCCAUUUAGUAAGUAAAUACAGUGAAAUUUAUUUAAAUAUUGAUCUGUUUUCAGUGAAAUCAAGAAAUAAAUCUCAAAAUGUGGAGUUUAUAAAUGUAUAUACAACAUUUCUACUGUGAUAUUAAUAUUGUGCUGUCAUUUAAAUGAGUUGCUGAUAACUGUAAAUUCUGUUGUAAAUAUUAAUAAUCAUGUGCAACCAGGUUGGCCUGGUAAAAAAGUAGCGAUAGGGAUAUAUUAGUAUCUGCAUAUCAUCUGUCAGUGUAGAUAACUACCUCACUUUACAGUUGAGAAGUUAAACUGUCUUGAAGGGGUUGUACAAGUUCUGAUGUGAGAAUUACAUCCUGUGUCCUUUAACAAGCACUGUGAUGAAGCUGUAACUUCUAACUUGAUUUAUAUACAUUGAAUGAACUUAAUCAAAUGUCAUGUUUCAGUUUAAUUUUCAGGAGGAUUGUAGAUUAUUGUAAACAUGUAAUUUUAUACCAAAAAGUACAAUGACAGUAGUUUCUAAUCUGUGAAAAACAAGAAUAUAUUCAUUAGAAAGUUUGAAUUUUUUAUAUUGGGUUGCUGAGAAUAUUUAAGGUGCUGAGAAUUUUUAUUAGCAUUUGAAGAGAAAAAACAAGAAACUUCAUUUUCUUAAUUUGUUGGAAAGAGAACUAUUUCUACAUGGAAAUAAUUUAGGAAACAAUAAGAUAUCUUUCACAAAGUUAAUCUGUUACAAACAAAAGCAAAAGUAAAUGUUUUGUUUUUAAAACUCUGAUUUUCUCUUAGAGUGAAACUUGGUAUCAGCAAUAAGUAGUGAUAUCUUAUAGUUUAAUUUUAACAAGCAUUUCACUUAAUAUCAAUCCAAAUCUUAUUUUAAUUUUUGUCAAUUCUGUCCUGAGCUAGAAUUUCCAAAGAAACUGGUGUAGAGUACUACAGUAGCUUUGAAGAAUAUAACUAUGCACAACAUUAAAAUGUUAUCUCUAAAUUGUUUUUGCUUUUCCCCUUUAAAACAACCAUCUCAAUAAUUUGUACCUAAAAGUUAAUAUAAAUACUAGUCAGCUUGUACUGAUAUUUCUUUAUAAACUCUAGAACUAUUAGAAAUGGUAACUAAAAAUGGGCAUUUAUAAUAGGGACUUUAUUCCCUUUCUCCUUCUUCCUCCAUUUAAUUUUUUGCUUGGUUUGCAUUACCUGACAGAGUUAGUCUUUGACAUAUACAGAAUAGUGUUAAAUGGAUGGUUAUAUUCACAGUAAUGGAAGAAUUGAGCUUUAAACAUUCUGUCAAGCCCUGAUUUCUAAAUAUAACAAACUGAAAUGGAUUUCAUUUGCAUAAUACAGUAGUAAAAAAUUCAUUAUAAUUUAUUUCAUCACAACCUUUUAUGUCCUUUGCAU
rnacentral:lncRNA from 1 species